rnacentral:misc_RNA from 1 species
GGAAAAACCUUGGUGAAGGAAAAAAAGAGCGCAGUGCAUAUUUACAGAUGGGACUGAGCUUACAAGAACUCUUCAAUCUUCUACUUGUGUGGUUGGAGGUCUGUUUUCUUCUCCCAAUUAGUCUCUUCUGCAUUCAAACCCUUACAUUUGACGAGGUACUCUUUGUACGGCUAACGCUUAGUGAUUUUGACAACUCGCUCUGCUAGGAUCUCUUCUACUCCUUGAUUGACUAGUGGUGUGUAGGUAAAAGCUAGUCUAAAAUAUCUGCUAUGGCUGAGAUCUGUCUCAUUUUCAUGAUAUGGCUUCAAUUUGCUGACAUAAAAAAUUGGGUGAAUCUUCAUCCAUUUUGAUACUCCACAUUGUGAGCAACUUGGCCAACUCUAGCAACAACUGGCAUUGGCCCUUCAUACUUGCAAAUUAGUCUCUUGUCUCGAUUGCAGAAGAAUCGGAGUUGAUUUGGUAGCAGCUUCGCCAUGACUAGAUCUCCAACUGCAAAUUCUUAUAGCCUUCGAUUCUCAUCCACCCAUUUCUUCAUUUACCUGGAUGUUUUUUCUAAUUGGACUCCUGUAAUCUGUGCAUUUUGCUUCCACUCCUUCGUGAAGUGGUAUGCUUUGAGAUUCCUACCUGUGUAAGGAUCAUCCAAAGAAUGAUCUCUAACAAUCUCAAAAGGACUUUUAUU